rnacentral:rRNA from 1 species
AGAGUUUGAGUCCUGGACGCAGGACGAACGCUGGCGGCACGCCUAACACAUGCAAGUCGAACGGACGAGAGGAAGCUUGCUUCCUCAAGUUAGUGGCGGACGGGUGAGUAACACGUGAGCAACCUGCCUCUGAGAGAGGGAUAGCUUCUGGAAACGGAUGGUAAUACCUCAUAACAUAGUGAAAUCGCAUGAUUUGUUAUCAAAGAAAUUCGCUCAGAGAUGGGCUCGCGUCUGAUUAGAUAGUUGGUGAGGUAACGGCUCACCAAGUCGACGAUCAGUAGCCGGACUGAGAGGUUGAACGGCCACAUUGGGACUGAGACACGGCCCAGACUCCUACGAGAGGCAGCAGUGGGGAAUAUUGCACAAUGGGGGAAACCCUGAUGCAGCGAUGCCGCGUGGAGGAAGAAGGUUUUCGGAUUGUAAACUCCUUUUAUCAGGGACGAUAAUGACGGUACCUGAAGAAAAAGCUCCGGCUAACUACGUG